rnacentral:rRNA from 1 species
CACACGACUCUCGGCAACGGAUAUCUCGGCUCUCGCAUCGAUGAAGAACGUAGCAAAAUGCGAUACCUGGUGUGAAUUGCAGAAUCCCGCGAACCAUUGAGUUUUUGAACGCAAGUUGCGCCCGAGGCCUUUUGGUCGAGGGCACGUCUGCCUGGGCGUCACGC